UUUCCUUUUGUUGCUGUCUAGUAUUCCAUGGUAUAUAUGUACCACAUUUUCUUUUUCCAGUCCACCGUUGAUGGGCAUUUAGGUUGGUUCCAUGUCUUUGCUAUUGUGAAUAGCACUGCAAUGAACAUACAUGUGCAUGUGUGUUUAUGAUAGAAUGAUUUAUAUUCUUUUGGGUAUAUACUAAGUAAUAGGAUUGCUUAGUUCAAUGGUAGUUCUGCUGUAAUUUAUUUGAGAAAACUCCAAACUGCUUUCCACAGUGGCUGAACUAAUUUACAUUCCCACCAACAGUGUGUAAGUGUUUCCUUUUCUCUGCAACCUCACCAUCAUCUGUUAUUUUUUGACUUUUUGAUAAUAGCCAUUCUGACUGGUAUGAGUUGGUAUCUCAUUGUGGUUUUGAUUUCAUUUAUCUAAUGAUUAGUGACGUUGAGCAUUUUUUCAUAUGCUUAUUGGCUAUGUGUAUGUCUUCUUUUGAAAAGUGUCUGUUCAUAUCCUUUGCUUAUUUUUUAAUGGGGUUAUUUUUGUUUAUUAAUUUAAAUUGCCUAUAGAGUCUAGAUAUUAGACUUUUGUCAGAUGCAUACUUUGCAAAUAUUUUCUCCCAUUCUGUAGGUUGUCUGUUUACUCUGUUGAUUACUUCUUUUGCUGUGUAGAAGCUCUUUAGUUUAAUUAGAUCCUACUUGUGAAUUUUUGCUUUUCUUGCAGUUGCUUUUGGAGUAUGUCAUGAAUUCUUUGCCAGGGCCCAAGUCCAGACUGGUAUUUCCUAGGUAUUCUUCUGAGGUUUUUAUAGUUUUAAGUUUUAUGUUUAAGUCUUAAUCCAUCUUGAGUUGAUUUUUGUAUAUGGUUAAAGGAGGGGGUCCAGUUUAAAUCUUCUGCAUAUGGCUAGCCAGUUAUCCUAGCACCAUUCAUUGAAUAGGGAGUCCUUUCCUCAUUGUUUGUUUUUGUCUACUUUGUCAAAGGUCAGAUGGUUGCAAGUGUGUGGCCUUAUUUCUGGGUUCUCUCUUCUUUUCCAUUGGUCUAUGUGUCUGUUUUGUGCCAGCACCAUGCUGUUUUGGUUACUGUAGCCUUGUUGUAUAGUUUGAAGUCUGACAGUGUGAUGCCUCCAGCUUUGUUCUUCUUCCUUAGGAUUGUUUUAGCUAUUCAGGCUCAUUUUGAUUCCAUAUGAAUUUUAGAAUUGUUUUUUCUAAUUCUGUGAAAAAUGUCCUUGGUAGUUUGAUAGGAAUAACACUGAAUCUAUACAUUGCUUUGGGCUGCAUGGUCAUUUUAAUGAUAUUGAGUCUUCCUAACCAUGAACAUGGAAUGUUUCUCCAUUUGUCGGUGUCAGCUCUGAUUUCUUUGAGCAAUGUUUUGUAACUCUCAUUGAAGAGAUCUUUCACCUCCCUGGUUAGCUGUAUUCCAAGGUAGUGUGCGCGUGUGUGUGUGUCUAUUGUUAGUGGCACUGCAUUCUUGAUUUGGCACUCAGCUUGGACAUUAUUAGUGUAUAGAAAUGUUACUGAUUUUUAUACAUUGAUUUUUGUAUCCUGAAACUGUGCUAAAGUUGCUUAUCAGAUCUAGGAACUUUUGGGCAGAGACUAUGGGGUUUUCAAGGUAUAAAAUCAUAUCAUUUGUGAAGAAAGAUAGUUUGACUUCCUCUCUUCCUAUUUGAAUGCCUUUUCUUUCUGUCUGUCUUUCUUUUUUUUUUUUUUUUUUCUCCCCCUGAUUCCUCUGGCUAGGACUUUCAGUGCCAUGUUGUUAAAUAGGAGUGAUAAGAGCAUCUUCAUCUUGUCCUGGUUCUCAAGGUGAAUGCUUCCAGCUUUUGCCCGUUCAGUAUGAUAUUGGCUAUGAGUUUGUCACAGAUGGCUCUUAUUAUUUUGAAGUGCAUUCCUUCAAUGCCUAGCUUGUUGGAAGUUUUAUCAUGAAGGGAUGUUGAAUUCUAUCCAAAGCUUUCUCUAUAUCUGUUGAGAUGAUCAUGUGCUUUUUGUUUUUAGUUCUGUGUAUGUGAUGAAUCACACUUAAUGAUUUGCAUAUGGUGAACCAACCUUACAUCCUAGGGAUAAAGCCUACUUGAUUGUGAUAGCUUCACUUUUUGAUGUGCUGUUGGAUUAAGUUUGCUAGGAUUUUCUUAAGAAUGUUUGAAAAUAUGUUCAUCAGGGAUAUUGGCCUGAAGUUUUCUUUUUUUGUUGUGUCUCCACCAAGUUUUGGCAUCAGGAUGAUGCUGGCCCAAUAGAAUGAGUUACGGAGGAGUCCCUCCUUCUCAUUUUUUCGUAAUAGUUUCCAUAGGAUUGAUACCAGCUCUUCUUUAUAUAUCUCAUAGAAUUCAGAUGUAAAUCUGUCUGACCCAGGGCUUUUUCUGGUUGGUAGGCUAUUUAUUACUGAUUCCAUUUUGAAACUUGUUAUUGGUCUGUUUGGGGUUUCUAUUUCUUCCUGGUUCAAUCUUGGUGGGGUAGUAUGUUUCCAGGAAUUUAUCCAUUUCUUCUAGGUUUUCUAGUUUGUAUGCAUAGAGGUGUUUGUAAUAGUUCCUGAGGGUUUUUUAUAUUUCUGUGGGUCGAUGGUAUUUUGUCGUUUCUGAGUGUGUCUAUUUGGAUCUUCUCUAUUUUUUUAAUUAGUCUAGCUAGUGGUCUAUCAAUCUUAUUCUUUCAAAUAACCAACUUUUGGUUUUGUUGAUCUUUUGUGUGGUUUUUCAUGUCUCACUUUUAUUCAAUUCAGCUCUAAUUUUGAUUAUUUCUUUUCAUCUGCUAGCUUUGGAGUUGUUUUGUUCUUGUUUUUCUAGUUCCUCCAAGUUUGAUGUCAGUUUGUUAAUUUGAGGUCUUUCUUUUUGAUGUGGGCAUUUAGCACUAUAAUCUUCUCAUUUAAUACUGCUAUUGCUGUGUCUCAGAGAUUCUGCCUUUUUAUAAAAAUGAGAAGAUCUAUAAUCUCAUUUUGUAAAAAGGCAUAAUCAAUCUCAAAACGUUAAAAUAUUUAUCUCUGGAUGUCGCAAUUAGAGCUGAUCUUCAUGCUUUUCUUUUAUAUCUGUGUUUUUUUUUUUAGUUUUCUGCAAUGAGUUUCCAUUCUAUUUGCAAUUUUUAAAAUAUAUGGAUGGCACUUGGAAAAAAGAGCCCCUUUCUUAACAAAGAAGUAUGCAGCUAUUUAUCUAUUCUACUAAUUCUCAUGUAGUAGCCUCACUUGCAAAAUAACAUGUGAUUGGAAAAGCCCCUCUACUCCCACAAGUCUACCAUUCCCCUAUAACUGACACUGAAAUUUCUUUAAGAGAAAACAAGACCAUGGAGCCAUAUUUGACAAUAAAAUUACAUUUUUCUAGGAAAAGUAACACAUAACUCAAGCACUGAGGGUAUAUCUUAUCUUAUUCCUAUCCAUUCCUCUUAAUACCUUUCUCUUUUGCCUCUAUUCCUUCCUCAACACCAGUAUACUUUGCUCAAUUGUCUGUUGAAUGAAUUAACAAGCUCUGAUUAUAGAUUAAUCAGAGAAUUUUCUUAAAGCUGAUUUUGAUAGGAAGAUAUGGAGAGCCCAUGAACACGGCAUACCCUUUUCCGGCCAGAUCUGCUGAAUCUAUCCUGCAGAUUUGUGGUAUGGUAGAUGUUGCAGCCAGAUGUGUAGCCUCCUAUCCACAUUUGUUUAAUAGUAUGAUAG
rnacentral:lncRNA from 10 species